CCUACGGGAGGCAGCAGUGGGGAAUAUUGCGCAAUGGGGGCAACCCUGACGCAGCCACGCCGCGUGAUUGAAGAAGGCCUUCGGGUUUUAAAGAUCUUUAAUCGGGGACGAAUUUUGACGGUACCCGGAGAAUAAGCUCCGGCUAACUACGUGCCAGCAGCCGCGGUAAUACGUAGGGAGCAAGCGUUUUCCGGAUUUACUGGGUGUAAAGGGCGUGUAGGCGGGCAUGCAAGCCAGAAGUGAAAUCUUGGGGCUGAACCCUAAAACUGCUUUUGGAACGGGGUGUCUUGAGUGAUGGAGAGGCAGGCGGAAUUCCUAGUGUAGCGGUGAAAUGCGUAGAUAUUGGGAGGAACACCAGUGGCGAAGGCGGCCUGCUGGACAGUAACUGACGCUGAGGCGCGAAAGCGUGGGGAGCAAACAGGAUUAGAUACCCGAGUAGUC
rnacentral:rRNA from 1 species